rnacentral:rRNA from 1 species
CCUACGGGAGGCAGCAGUGGGGAAUAUUGGGCAAUGGGCGCAAGCCUGACCCAGCAACGCCGCGUGAAGGAAGAAGGCUUUCGGGUUGUAAACUUCUUUUAUCAGGGACGAAGCAAGUGACGGUACCUGAUGAAUAAGCCACGGCUAACUACGUGCCAGCAGCCGCGGUAAUACGUAGGUGGCAAGCGUUAUCCGGAUUUACUGGGUGUAAAGGGCGUGUAGGCGGGAGUGCAAGUCAGAUGUGAAAACUAUGGGCUCAACCCAUAGCCUGCAUUUGAAAGUGUACUUCUUGAGUGCUGGGGAGGCAAGCGGAAUGCGGGGUGGAGAGGAGAAAGGUGGAGAGAUAGGGAGGAAACCGGGUGGGGAGGGGGGAUGAAUGGAUAGUAAUUGACGCUGAGGCGCGAAAGCGGGGGGAGAAAACAGGAUUAGAGACCCGAGGAGGC